rnacentral:rRNA from 1 species
AGAGUUUGAUCCUGGCUCAGGAUGAACGCUAGCUACAGGCUUAACACAUGCAAGUCGAGGGGCAUCAGUUUGGUUUGCUUGCAAACCAAAGCUGGCGACCGGCGCACGGGUGAGUAACACGUAUCCAACCUGCCUCAUACUCGGGGAUAGCCUUUCGAAAGAAAGAUUAAUAUCCGAUAGCAUAUAUUUCCCGCAUGGGUUUUAUAUUAAAGAAAUUCGGUAUGAGAUGGGGAUGCGUUCCAUUAGUUUGUUGGGGGGGUAACGGCCCACCAAGACUACGAUGGAUAGGGGUUCUGAGAGGAAGGUCCCCCACAUUGGAACUGAGACACGGUCCAAACUCCUACGGGAGGCAGCAGUGAGGAAUAUUGGUCAAUGGACGCGAGUCUGAACCAGCCAAGUAGCGUGAAGGAUGACUGCCCUAUGGGUUGUAAACUUCUUUUAUAUGGGAAUAAAGUGGUCCACGUGUGGACUUUUGUAUGUACCAUAUGAAUAAGGAUCGGCUAACUCCGUGCCAGCAGCCGCGGUAAUACGGAGGAUCCGAGCGUUAUCCGGAUUUAUUGGGUUUAAAGGGAGCGUAGGCGGAUUGUUAAGUCAGUUGUGAAAGUUUGCGGCUCAACCGUAAAAUUGCAGUUGAUACUGGCAGUCUUGAGUGCAGUAGAGGUGGGCGGAAUUCGUGGUGUAGCGGUGAAAUGCUUAGAUAUCACGAAGAACUCCGAUUGCGAAGGCAGCUCACUGGAGUGUAACUGACGCUGAUGCUCGAAAGUGUGGGUAUCAAACAGGAUUAGAUACCCUGGUAGUCCACACAGUAAACGAUG